GAUGAACGCUGGCGGCGUGCCUAACACAUGCAAGUCGAGCGAACGGACGAGAAGCUUGCUUCUCUGUUGUUAGCGGCGCACGGGUGAGUAACGCGUGGAUAACCUCCCUAUCAGACUGGGAUAACUUCGGGAAACCGGAGCUAAUCCCGGAUAAUAUCUUGAACCGCAUGGUUCAUAAGAGAAAGACGGUCUUGCUGUCACUUCUCGAUGGAUCCGGGCUGCAUUAGCUAGUUGGUAAGGUAACGGCUUACCAAGGCAACUAUGCGUAGCCGACGUGAGAGGGGGAUAGGCGACAUGGGAGCGUGGACAGGCACCAUGCUCCUACGGGAGGCAGCAGUAGGGAAUGGUCGGCAAUAGUGGGAAGCCUGACGGAGUGGCGGCACGCGUGUGAUGGAGGUGUUCGGAGCGGAAAGCCCUGUUAUUAGUGAAGAACCUAUUUGGACGGAACUGAGGAGAGCGUGACGGUAAUGGAUCAGAAAGCAACGGCUAACUACGUG
rnacentral:rRNA from 1 species